GCCAAUGUGAUUUAGUGGUUUUAGCGGUCGACUAAGACUCUGGAGACCAGGGUUCGAAUCCCCACUUGGCU